rnacentral:lncRNA from 1 species
AAAUCAGCAGCCAGAAACGUGUUCAGGGUUGAGUGGGCACUGGUGAAUCAUCACAAAUGCUUCAGCUACUGGGCCACUAACAGUCUCCUUACCGAAGAUAUUUCCCUCUGCGUUUGUCUUUAAAAAUAUUAUGGGUGCACAAAAGUAUGCAGUGGCAACAGGACCAACACGGAGCAAACUCCAGUGCAGCUUUUGAAAAUUCUAUUUGGUAUUUAUUUGGUUUUCAUACUUUUCUUUCUAUUUAUCCUUAUGCCCUGGGAAGUAAAAGAACUGGGUUUGGGAAACAUUUUUGGAUUUGCUGAACAGUGGACUCCGUUGUUUCAUGCACACCUUUGUACCAGGGUACAUCUUAUUGUUUAAAAAGAUGUUUUUCAAGAGCAUGAAGAGAUCUGAUCAGAACACGCUGGGGUGUCAAGGAAUGGUUCAUGGAUCCUCGGGUCCUCCACAGUGACCAGUGAUCAAGUACACUUGAUCUCCAACAUUAACCUUCGCCAGCUCUCUUGCAGUGGUCACGAGGAAUGUGGGCUGGUCAGAGCAGCCUCGCUCUGCCCUGGCCUUGGCCCUGUCAAUGACCAUCUCUCCAGAACACCCUUCCUCUCUUUUCUACCUGGCAACCACUUACUUGUAUUUCCUCUCCUUCCCUGACCCCACCGCUGGCAGCAAUGCCCCUCUUCUCUGUCAUCCACCAGCCCCCAAGGGUGUUAAAGCCGCACAGCUCUCUGUGUCAUCUUGGUCCAUCUUGUCUUCAGUGCUGCCCAGAGAACACUCCCCAUCUAAGCCACCACUGAAAUUAACAGAUGAACUGUUUAGGCUCAAAUACAAUUCAAGAGAAGAAAUUUUAAGAAGAAAGCUAAAACAGCCUUUUUCAAGGAACCAUUUAACUGAAGCUGCCAAUUCUUCCAACUCUGGCUCCUGGGAAGAUAUUCUUAACACUAUCCAGGGACAUCUGGCGACAACCUUCCUCUGACUCCUCCUACACAGAUUAGUAUCAAUGCUGAGAGCAGUCUUUCGGCACCGCUCUACACAGUCCUCCAAAGAUAAAGCCCAGCUCAGUUAUUCUUUGCCUACUACCUUAGGAUGGAGAAUAUGUUGGUUCCUCUAAUAAUUGUUUCCCAGUUUUAUUGCAAGAAAGUCUAAAGGGACACAAACACAAUUUCUAUUUCAAAGGAAUGAUCUCCUUCCCCUCUUCUUUGGAGAAAGUAGUUUAGAUAUUGUUAGUUUAAGGGAUCCCUGGGUGGCGCAGCGGUUUGGCGCCUGCCUUUGGCCCGGGGCGCGAUCCUGGAGACCCGGGAUCGGGUCCCACGUCGGGCUCCCGGUGCAUGGAGCCCGCUUCUCCCUCUCCCUCUGCCUGUGUCUCUGCUUCUCUCUCUCUCACUGUGUGCCUAUCAUAAAUAAAUAAAAUUUANNNNNNNNNNNNNNNNNNAGA